rnacentral:sRNA from 1 species
CAGGAGUUGAGAGACACCGGAUCUACGAUAUUGUCAAUGUUUUGGAAAGCGUUGGGCAGGUAAAGUUCAAAUAAUGGCGCGAAUCAACAGUGCUGAAGAAGAAAGGAAAGGGUGCUUAUACGGCAUCGUUUGAAGUUUGUUUUUUAUUUUGUUGAAACGCUGCUUGUGGUGUCGUUUAUGUUAGUACUGUUUUUAACUGCUUCGUCAUACGACUUAGCUGAGUGUCGUUUUUGUUUGUAUCCUUAAAAACCAUGUGCUGUUUUUUUCUUUCCUGGUCUUUUUCUUCCAGAAUUGUUAAGGCCGUUGCUGGCACCAGAAUUGAUGCUUUGUUUUCUGUGCUCAGCGGUUUUCUCUUUCUUUGUGUGUGCUCAUCAUUAAUCCGAGUGUUGAGGAGAAUUUUGCAAUCACGAGGCAACAGCCACUAUAUAUACUCAAACCGAAAAUGAAAUGCUGGCUAGUUUUUCCAGCUCAACAAUUUUUUUCUUUUCUCUGUUGCUUUGUACUGCUCUCUGGAAAUUUCUCAUUUCUGUUCUUAGUGUGUUUCAAUCUAUUUUCCGUCAAUACUUCUAUAAAACUGCUUGACUAUCAGAGUUUCAACAGGUAAUUGAGAUGGAACAACAUUUCAUUUUAUCAUAUUUUUGAACUCCUCUAACAGUAUCUUCAUUUUUCAUAUUACUUACUUAUGGAUUGCAGAAACGCAAGAUCACUUUUUAUCCAAUCUUAUGGGAAGCAAGAAGAAGAACAAGCCAGAACAAAUCUUUUUCUGUAAUAUCUGCGAAAAAAAUGAUUAAAGAUUUGAGUGGCUUUCAAGCUCAUAUCAAGGAUAGGCAUAAGAAAUCUUGGUCAUGCCGCAAAUGCAACAUGAUUUUUACAUCAGAUGUGGAUCUUUUGAUCCACUCUGAUGCUAAAGAAUGUUAUGAUUACUUGAAAAGGAUUGAGUUACUGAGCCAAGAUGAAAUCAAGACUGAAGACCUGGAGUCGUCGCUGGAAGAGGUGGGAGAAAAAUGAAAUCAAGAUACAUUUCAGUUUCUGGUACUGACAUAUAAAUCCCUGAAAACUUUUUUCAGUUUUUGUUUUUUCUCAAGUACGAUCUCUUUCUUUAUAUCAUCCAAAAGCUGGUGACCUGGGAAUUGCUUCAAUAUGUUUUUCCUGUAUGAGUUUAAGAUCAAUGAUAUCCAUGUAUCUUUCUCCUUUGAGAAUUUAAUUUCCUAGCAAAAACCACCGGGUUGGCAUA